UGAGGGAAUAUUGGGUCAAUGGGCGGAAGCCUGAACCAGCCAUGCCGCGUGACGGAAGACGGCCCUAUGGGUCUUAAACGUCUUUGGUCCCGGAGCAAUAAGAGCCACGCGUGGCUCGAUGAGAGUACGGGAAGAACAAGCAUCGGCUAACUCCGUGCCAGCAGCCGCGGUAAUACGGGGGAUGCGAGCGUUAUCCGGAUUUAUUGGGUUUAAAGGGUGCGCAGGCGGCGCGCCAAGUCAGCGGUCAAAGUUCCGGGCUCAACCCGGUGUCGCCGUUGAAACUGGCGUGCUCGAGUGCGUGCGAGGAAGGCGGAAUGCGCUGUGUAGCGGUGAAAUGCAUAGAUAUGACGCAGAACUCCGAUUGCGAAGGCAGCUUUCCAGCGCGCUACUGACGCUGAGGCACGAAAGCGUGGGGAUCGAACAGGAUUAGAUACCCUGGUAGU
rnacentral:rRNA from 1 species